GUGCACCAGUCGCGAAUACUUUACAAUGUGCGAAAGCACGAUAAGGGAACUCUGAGUGCCUCCUAAGGAGGCUGUUCAGGUGUCUAAAAGCACCUGAAGGAAGGGCUGGGUAAGACCGGUGCCAGCCGCCGCGGUAACACCGGCAGCCCAAGUGGUAGCCACGUUUAUUGGGUCUAAAGCGUCCGUAGCCGGCUGGGUAAGUUCCUUGGGAAAUUUGGCUGCUUAACAGUCAAGCUUUCAGGGAAUACUGCCCGGCUUGGGACCGGGAGAGGUCAGAGGUACUCCAGGGGUAGGGGUGAAAUCCAUUAAUCCUUGGGGGACCACCGGUAGCGAAGGCGUCUGACCAGACCGGGUCCGACGGUGAGGGACGAAGGCUAGGGGCGCGAACCGGAUUAGAUACCCGCGUAGU
rnacentral:rRNA from 1 species